CCUACGGGUGGCAGCAGUGAGGAAUAUUGGUCAAUGGGCGCGAGCCUGAACCAGCCAAGUAGCGUGAAGGAUGACUGCCCUACGGGUUGUAAACUUCUUUUAUAAAGGAAUAAAGUGAGGCACGUGUGCCUUUUUGUAUGUACUUUAUGAAUAAGGAUCGGCUAACUCCGUGCCAUCAGCCGCGGUAAUACGGAGGAUACGAGCGUUAUCCGGAUGUAUUGGGUGUAAAGGGAGCGUAGAUGGUUUGUUAAGUCAGUUGUGAAAGUUUGCGGCUCAACCGUAAAAUUGCAAUUGAUACUGGCAGCCUUGAGUACAGGUGAGGUAGGCGGAAUUCGUGGUGUAGCGGUGAAAUGCUUAGAUAUCACGAAGAACUCCGAUUGCGAAGGUAGCCUACUAAACUGCCACUGACAUUGAUGCUCGAAAGUGUGGGUAUCAAACAGGAUUAGAUACCCUAGUAGUC
rnacentral:rRNA from 1 species